rnacentral:rRNA from 1 species
CCUACGGGAGGCAGCAGUGGGGAAUAUUGCACAAUGGGGGAAACCCUGAUGCAGCGACGCCGCGUGAGUGAGGAAGUCUUUCGGUAUGUUAAGCUCUUUUAGCAGGGAAGAAACUGCCGGUACCUGACUAAGUAUCCCCGGCUAACUACGUGCCAGCAGCCGCGGUACUACGUAGGGGGCAAGCGUUAUCCGGAUUUACCGGGCGUAAAGGGAGCGUAGUCGGCUAAUCAAGUCAGAAGUGAAAACCCAGGGCUCAACCUUGGGACUGCUUUUGAAACUGAGUGGCUAGAGUGCAGGAGAGGUAGGAGGAAUUCGUGGUGUAGCGGUGAAAUGCGUAGAUAUUAGGAGGAACACCGGUGGCGAAGGCAGCUUACUGGGCUGUGACUGACGUUGAGGCUCGAAGGCGUGGGGAGCAAACAGGAUUAGAUACCCGAGUAGUC